CAUUACUGGCAACUCAAAUAGAGAGGCUUUUUCUAUGGAUUUAUCUUUUUUUUUUCCACAUAUCAUUCUCACAAUCACCACUCCUUCCUUUUGAUGUGUCUCCGCAUUCCCAGUCUUCCUCAACGCCCAGAGGACUGAGCAGCAGGAGAAUGCCUGAAGAAAAGAAUGAUGGAGAAAGAAGGGAUUCUGCAGGGGGAAGGCAGUCCGGUGAGCAGCCAGCCCUGGGGUCUCCUCUGGACCACUGAGAACAGGCUUCUCCUUGUGGGCUACGUUGGACCAAUGGGCUUUCUCAUACCCAGAUGCUGAAGGGCAGCCUCCCAAGAAAGAAGGAGAGCGAGGAA
rnacentral:lncRNA from 1 species